rnacentral:rRNA from 1 species
GAGCGAUGAAGUUUCUUCGGAAAUGGAUUAGCGGCGAACGGGUGAGGAACACGUGAAGAAUCUGCCCUCCACUUUGGGAUAACACCGGGAAACCGGUGCUAAUACUGAAUAUUGAAACAUAAGUGGCAUCACUGAGUUUUGAAAGAAUUUCGGUGGAGGAUGACUUCGCGGCCUAUCAGCUAGUUGGUGAGGUAAUGGCUCACCAAGGCAACGACGGGUAGCCGGCCUGAGAGGGCGACCGGCCACACUGGGACUGAGACACGGCCCAGACUCCUACGGGAGGCAGCAGUGGGGAAUAUUGGGCAAUGGAGGAAACUCUGACCCAGCGACGCCGCGUGCGGGAUGAAGGCCUUCGGGUUGUAAACCGCUUUCAGUAGGGAAGAAGCGAAAGUGACGGUACCUACAAAAGAAGCACCGGCUAACUAUGUGCCAGCAGCCGCGGUAAUACAUAGGGUGCAAGCGUUGUCCGGAAUUAUUGGGCGUAAAGAGCUCGUAGGUCGUUUGUUACGUCGGAUGUGAAAACCUGAGGCUCAACCUCAGGCCUGCAUUCGAUACGGGCAAACUAGAGUUUGGUAGGGGAGACUGGAAUUCCUGGUGUAGCGGUGGAAUGCGCAGAUAUCAGGAGGAACAC